UACCAGCACCCCGAGUGGUCGGGACGUUUAUUGGGCCUAAAGCAUCCGUAGCCGGUUCUACAAGUCUUCCGUUAAAUCCAACUGCUUAACAGGUGGGCUGCGGAAGAUACUAUAGAGCUAGGAGGCGGGAGAGGCAAGCGGUACUCGAUGGGUAGGGGUAAAAUCCGUUGAUCCAUUGAAGACCACCAGUGGCGAAGGCGGCUUGCCAGAACGCGCUCGACGGUGAGAGAUGAAAGCUGGGGGAGCAAACCGG
rnacentral:rRNA from 1 species